rnacentral:rRNA from 1 species
CACGUAGGGGGCGAGCGUUGUCCGGAAUUAUUGGGCGUAAAGAGCUCGUAGGCGGUCUGUCGCGUCGAUCGUGAAAACUUGGGGCUUAACCCUGAGCUUGCGGUCGAUACGGGCAUGACUGGAGUUCGGCAGGGGAGACUGGAAUUCCUGGUGUAGCGGUGAAAUGCGCAGAUAUCAGGAGGAACACCGGUGGCGAAGGCGGGUCUCUGGGCCGAUACUGACGCUGAGGAGCGAAAGCGUGGGGAGCGAACAGG